rnacentral:rRNA from 1 species
CCUACGGGAGGCAGCAGUGAGGAAUAUUGGUCAAUGGGCGCGAGCCUGAACCAGCCAAGUAGCGUGAAGGAUGACUGCCCUACGGGUUGUAAACUUCUUUUAUAAAGGAAUAAAGUGAGGCACGUGUGCCUUUUUGUAUGUACUUUAUGAAUAAGGAUCGGCUAACUCCGUGCCAGCAGCCCCGGUAAUACGGAGGAUCCGAGCGUUAUCCGGAUUUAUUGGGGUUAAAGGGAGCGUAGAUGGGUUGUUAAGUCAGUUGUUAGAGUUUGCGGAUCAACCGUAAAAUUGCAAUGGCUACUGGCAGCCUUGAGAACAGUUGAGGUAGGCGGAAUUCGUGGUGUAGCGGUGAAAUGCUUAGAUAUCACGUAGAACUCCGAUUGCGAAGGCAGCUUACUAAACUGCCACUGACAUUGAUGCUCGAAAGUGUGGGUAUCAAACAGGAUUAGAUACCCCGGUAGUC